UACGGAGGGAGCAAGCGUUGUUCGGAUUUACUGGGCGUAAAGGGCGCGUAGGCGGCGUGGUAAGUCACUUGUGAAAUCUCCGGGCUUAACUCGGAACGGUCAAGUGAUACUGCUGUGCUAGAGUGCGGAAGGGGCAACUGGAAUUCUCGGUGUAGCGGUGAAAUGCGCAGAUAUCGGGAAGAACACCCGUGGCGAAGGCGGUUCUCUGGGACGGUACUGACGCUGAGACGCGAAAGCGUGGGGAGCGAACAGG
rnacentral:rRNA from 1 species